GAACCGCUUAGAAGAAAACGGACGGAGCCGUCGGGAGCCUUCGGGAAUCAGUCUCGCGAUAGGCGAACGCGCGGCGAUUCGGAACGCAAGUCCGAUCGUUGUGCGGCUAGUAGCUUUCGCUUGGCGCAUUUCUCGAAGGUAAGCACCGCGACCGAUACGAAAGGCCGACGAAGCGUUUGGAUUGAGGGCGAGUCCUCUCACGGGGGCUCGUAACCAGUCCUUACGUCGUUUAGUCGUCGGACCGCAGUAUGUAUCGAUAGCCAAAGUUAUAUUAUAUACGCCGGCCGUAAAGCUCGCUCGAGUCAACGGAUAGUUGGUCAAUAGUGUUGGUACUUGCUCGCAGGUGCUAAUCUAUUCGAUUCGGCUUUUGAAGUUAUCGGCGACGUUUCGGCGUAUAGGCGUCGGCGGUGUCAGUGUCGGCCACCCAUCCGACCCGUCUUGAAACACGGACCAAGGAGUCUAACAUAUGCGCGAGCUAAUGGGUGGAAAACCCAAAAGCGUAAUAAAAGUAAACGCCGUUUCGGACGGCUAAGGUACGAUCCUAGUGUCCUUUGCGACAUUAGGCGCAGUACUGUCCCGUCCCGACCGCAUGUCGGUAGGGCGGAGAUAGAGUGCAUACGUUGGGACCCGAAAGAUGGUGAACUAUGCCUGAGCAGAGCGAAGCCAGAGGAAACUCUGGUGGAGGUUCGUAGCGGUUCUGACGUGCAA
rnacentral:rRNA from 1 species